AAGCAUGCUGGAGCGUCACCAGAGGCCAUUAGUUAGUGAAUUAACGAUUCACUAGAAAUUCGCAUCAUCUCUUACUUAAAAAAAUUGCAACGCGUGUAUUUCAAUUAAAAAGGACAAUGAGUGGAGGCAGACAUUUGGCUAAAGGAUCGCAAAAACCUGAGCUACCAGACGAUGGAGUUAUACGUUUGUAUUCCAUGCGGUUCUGUCCCUAUUCCCAUAGGGCGCAUUUAGUUCUAAACGCCAAAGGUAUUCCAUAUCAUACCAUAUUUAUCAACCUUACUGAAACCCCUGAAUGGCUGACCGAAUUCAGCCCAUUGGGAAAGGUGCCGGCAAUACAAUUACCAAAAGAAGAGGGCAACCCAACUUUGAUUGAGUCUCUCAUAAUUGCUGAAUACCUCGAUGAGAAGUACCCCGAAGUUCCUCUUUUUCCUAAAUACCCUAUAAAGAAAGCACAGGACAAGGUACUCAUUGAGAGAUUCAACUCUGUGGUUAGCUCCAUGUACAAGGUAUUUUUGGGUGGAAGCGAAGCGGCACCAGGUGCAUUAACUGACAUCUCGAAGGGUCUAGAUGUGUUCGAAAAGGAGCUGAGCUCGCGUGGAACACCUUACUUCGGUGGCGAAAAACCUGGCAUGCUAGACUAUAUGAUUUGGCCAUGGUGUGAGCGUUCUGCAAUGUUAAAAUAUUUGCUACCGGACAAGUAUGAAAUGGAUAAAGAUCGCUUUGGAAAAUUAAUCCAAUGGCGAGACUUGAUGAUAAACGAUCCUGCAGUAAAAGGGUUCUAUUUAGAUGGCGAAACUCAUGCCAAGUUUAUGAAAGCACGUCGUGAAAACGUUCAUAACUAUGAUAUGCUCGUGUAAGACUUUUCUUGGUUGCAUUCCACGUGCGUCAUAAUAUAGUGUUAACUAUUAAGUAUGAUGUAAUGUAACUAACGCGCUGUGCGAUAUUGCUACAAUUAUGAAAAACGAUGUGCUCCUACUUAUACAUAUGAGUGACGCUAAACGACAAAGAACUUGUUGAGGAUUGAAAGCUUUUUAGUUUGAUAUUGGAAUAUUUGAAGUAAACAUCAUUCACUUUUCUUGAUUUCCAAUCGUCUCUAAAAUCAAUCGGAACCAUCGCCAUGCUUUACAUAUCCUUGUAAUUGUCUAAAAUCAUUAUGUGUAUAUACAUCUCAUAUUUUUUGUAGAUACCCACAAUUUACUGAAAGAACUCAAAUACAGCACAUUUGUUUUGUAAUAAA